rnacentral:misc_RNA from 1 species
GCAAAGCAUUGACUCAGCAGGUAAUAAGGAAGCUGCAGCAAAACAAUUACAUACCAAAGAAUAAGUUGAACCAUUGUAUUUAACUUCUCUCACCAACAAAUGGGUUCGGAAGGUCCUUCAGUAGUAACUGUUCAUGUUACCGGAUUCAAGAAAUUUCAUGGUGUGUCGGAGAACCCCACAGAGAGAAUUGCCAGCAACCUGAAGGAAUUUAUGCAGAAAAAUGGGUUACCAAAUGGUCUUGUUCUUGGUAGUUGCAAUGUUCUUGAGAGUGCUGGACAGGGGGCAAUUUCUCAGCUCUACAAAAUAUUGGAGUCAUCUGUGGUUGGACAUGACAGUCAAUCUCUGAAUGGCGGGCAGAUCAUUUGGCUCCAUCUUGGAGUUAAUAGUGGAGCAUCGAGAUUUGCUGUUGAGAAUCAAGCAGUUAAUGAAGCUACUUUCCGAUGCCCUGAUGAGUUUGGGUGGAAGCCUCAGAGAUUGCCAAUUAUACCUUCUGAUGGGGUCAUUUCACGAACAAGAGAGACUUCUCUUCCUGCCAAUGAAAUUUCCAAGUCCUUGGCCAAGAUGGGAUAUGAUGUGAUUCCUUCUGACGAUGCGGGUCGCUUUGUAUGCAACUAUGUGUACUAUCAUUCUCUCCGGUUCGCAGAGCAACAUGGGAUCAAAUCUCUGUUUGUGCAUGUCCCUCUCUUCCUGACAAUCAACGAAGAAACCCAGAUGCGGUUUGUCGCUUCCCUUCUAGAGGUGCUCGCCUCUCUGCAUUAGGCGCGUUCUACCGAGUGUUGUAAUGGUGCAGAGUUCUUGAAGGUAUAAUCAGCUGGUGCAGAGUAAAACAACACAGAGCCAUUGGAUUGGUUCUGAU